CCUGCCCCUAGAGGCGUUGCAGGUGUGGUUGCUGUGUCACAUGUGCAUCAGUAGGUGGCAGAGAGCAGAGAGACAUGUCUAUGCUCAGUGUUCCAACCUAUGAACAUCUGGAUGAUUAGUAACCUAACUUC